rnacentral:rRNA from 1 species
UACGUAGGGUGCAAGCGUUGUCCGGAAUUAUUGGGCGUAAAGAGCUCGUAGGCGGUUUGUCGCGUCUGCUGUGAAACCCGAGGCUCAACCUCGGGCCUGCAGUGGGUACGGGCAGACUAGAGUGCGGUAGGGGUGACUGGAAUUCCUGGUGUAGCGGUGGAAUGCGCAGAUAUCAGGAGGAACACCGAUGGCGAAGGCAGGUCACUGGGCCGCAACUGACGCUGGAGGAGCG